UAGGGAAUCUUCGGCAAUGGACGGAAGUCUGACCGAGCAACGCCGCGUGAGUGAAGAAGGUUUUCGGAUCGUAAAGCUCUGUUGUAAGAGAAGAACGAGUGUGAGAGUGGAAAGUUCACACUGUGACGGUAUCUUACCAGAAAGGGACGGCUAACUACGUGCCAGCAGCCGCGGUAAUACGUAGGUCCCGAGCGUUGUCCGGAUUUAUUGGGCGUAAAGCGAGCGCAGGCGGUUAGAUAAGUCUGAAGUUAAAGGCUGUGGCUUAACCAUAGUACGCUUUGGAAACUGUUUAACUUGAGUGCAAGAGGGGAGAGUGGAAUUCCAUGUGUAGCGGUGAAAUGCGUAGAUAUAUGGAGGAACACCGGUGGCGAAAGCAGCUCUCUGGCUUGUAACUGACGCUGAGGCUCGAAAGCGUGGGGAGCAAACAGGAUUAGAUACCCUGGUAGUCCACGCCGUAAACGAUGAGUGCUAGGUGUUAGACCCUUUCCGGGGUUUAGUGCCGCAGCUAACGCAUUAAGCACUCCGCCUGGGGAGUACGACCGCAAGGUUG
rnacentral:rRNA from 1 species